AUCAGGGGUAAACCUGUGGAACUCGAACGAACGAACGGGGAGAUUCACCGUAUUUCCGUCUGGGUCCGCGGCGCGAUCGUUAACCGCGAUCGUUGCGUCGUCUCGUGCGACGUUAACGAUCGUGGCGGUCGUGUCGUGGCAAGGCCCGCGGAGUGCGUGCACUUUUCCCUUAGUAAAACACCGCGACCCGUUCGGUAUAUGCAUAUUGUUUCGGGAUCGAACCCGUCGUGCGGUUGUCCCGUUUCGAACGUCAAAAAUUCGGAGCGGAGCCGCGGCGUGGUGAUCCCGGACGGACGGUAAAAAACGAGGUUCGCUUCCGCCGUUUCGACGGCGUCCGUGCUUCGAACCGAAUCGGUCCCGUUCGGACCUCGGCGCCUUCGUGCGUCGUGGGUUCCGCACGUGGUCUGCCGGUUCGCCGUUUCGGAGCGUCUCGGACGGGAAGCGUCCCGGUCGGCGGUGGUUUUGUUUCGGGCACUCACAGGACCC
rnacentral:rRNA from 1 species